rnacentral:lncRNA from 1 species
GUGGCUGAAGGAAUGGUCAACGUUAACCAAAAGGGGAAAGUGAGAUAAGAAUUCAAGGGACACGGGCACACGGCUAGGUAUGAAACAAACUUCAAUUGAAUUUAGCUAAGAGGAUGCGGGAAGUAUCACAUCAUAGGGAAUCCCUAUGCGAUGAAGUCGAACACAACACUGCUACUACGCUAGCAGUGAGGUUUCUACACGUUUUGAGGCUGUCCGCACCGGUACCCUGUAAGCCAUCCUCCAGUACU